CAGAAGUAUUAAUUUUAAAAAAUGACGCUGAACCUUAAAACAUAUUCAAACCAUUUAUUUACAUCAUGCAGAGGUAUGGUAUUAAUUCCAUGGAUCGAUGAGUUAAAUGGCUAUUUUAAGCUAAAGCUUGUUUUCCUUUACAAGAGGGGUUUUUAUCUAAAAGAAUAUCUUUGGAGUGGUUCUUUUACAUUCUAUGAAACCAUCCUUUUUAUUUGAUGCCACAUGUCAGACGUCAUAUUUAAAUGUGCAUACACAAAUAUACUAAUUGUUUUAGCUGACCUAGAGUUUAUCUAAAAGACUCUGAUAGGCUGAAUGUAUGAGUUGUUUCUUGCUGUAAAUAUGGAUUGGUAAUGAAUAGAGAAAUUAGGUUUGCUUUGUAGUAUUACAAAAAUAUAUGAAUCCUUGAGAAGAGUUCUUUCUAGAAUUGAUAAAAUGAAUUGGAAUGUGGAGCUGUGGAUUGAUGAAUCUAUCAAACCUAUUCUACAAUUGUAGCCUGCAAAUAGUAAAUAUGUACCUCUGUGUGUUCUUAAGUCUUAACUUAAUAUCCUAAUUCUUGGCAGGCUUCAUGUGUUGUAUCUUUCUAUAAAUAUGAACAAAGAAUAAGGUUGAUGGAAUUUAGUUGAUUAUUAAAUGAUUUGUAAGUGCUCAAAAUGGAUGACAUUCACUAGCAAGAGAUUAGUAAGAAACUAGCAGGAUAAAUUCCUUAAUUCUUUAUUUACAGCUUUAACUUGGAAACAUGAUGGUAGCCUUAUUGCUGAUACAACUAUAUAUUUACAGAAACAUAGUGUGAUGGAUAACAUAUUAUAUUUUAUAUGGUUUAUACAAUGUCCUAAAUCUUGGUAGGACGCAUGGGUUGCGUCCUGCUAUAAAUAUGGACAAACAAUGAAGUUCAUUGCUGGAGACAGCCUGACAAUUGAAGUUCUCCCAACAUGCCCUACUAUGACAUGACAGGUAGGUGAGACUGAGUUUAUCAGUUAGCGCUGCAGGUUUAACUUAAUUGCAGAGCAGCAUUGUAUAGUCGAUUAACCAUGUUUGUAACAUAUUUCUUCUCUCAUCUCUGUGUUGGAGUGCUUGCAACAUAUUUUGUACUUGCAUCUUAUUUUGGUAGUUAAGAGUGUAACCAGACAACUCAUCCAUUUUCUUCCAUUUGCACCCAAACUUUCAUUGUCUUAUUGUUGUCAAGCGCAUAAUGCGAUCAUGUUUUCCUUGGGGUGGCAUGAAACUAUAAUGACAAUAUCAGUGUGGCCGUCCAGUUUCUGUACAAUUCUUGACUGCAGGUCCCAGUUCAAGUUAGUUUGCCAAAUUUCUAUGGCUUGUGCAGCUAGCAUCUUAAUGCUCUUUGCAAAAAAAAAGAGUAUUAUUAAGGGUUUAGUCUUCGAGCUUUCUACAUAGAAGGGGCUACUUGAAAUCACCAUAAAUUUUCAUUGCUUUCAUUCUCUCUUUUGGUAUUUCAGUUUGGUUAUGGUUUAACUCUUCUUUUGCUAUUUGUGUCGACCAUUUAUGUCACAAUAACUUCACUCAAUACUCUGUACAUAACUGACUGGUCAUGAUAUCAUAUUUCGAUAAAGUAUUUAUGACAAUCUAAGACACACAAAUGGUCAUUGGAAAACCUUUGGAUGGCAAGCUUGUAUUGUAUGCCUUCCAAAUUUUAUAGUAGUACCAUUUUUUAUUUUGUUUGGAUACCUCUUCUAACAGAGAUCUUGGUAAUUUGAACUUAUAUGGUCAUCUGGUGCCUGAGCUUGGAAAAUUGGAGCAUCUUCAGUAUUUGUAAGUUCUUACCCAAAUGAUUUAUAUCUUGGUAGUUGUUCACAAUAGGAUGUCAGACUUUACAUUCACUGUUUCUUUUUUAACUGCAUUGGGCAACAGAGCACAUAAUUCUGAUCAUAUAUCAAUGACAUUAUGCCCCUUGAAAAGGUUUAUGAAUCCAUUUGUAGUGCAGUUUGCAAACACCAAUUACUUGACUAGGAUCGAACUAUUUUUGUCCCACUUGAUCAGUUUGUAGUCUUGGAUUGCCUUAUUUGUUAUGUGAAGGAUAAAGUUAGAAUAUUUCUCAAUGUGUAGGAAUGGGAUAGGUGGACUUACUGGUUGGGUGUCUCUUGUAUGAAUCAGGUUAUGGUCACCGUAGGCAGGUUUUCUCCACACAGAUGGGUUUGAGCGACCAGGACAUUGUUGCACUUUUUGGUGGUCACACCCUGGGAAGAUGCCACAAGGACAGGUCUGGGUUUGAGGGAGCUUGGACGUCCAACCCUUUGAUCUUUGACAACUCUUCAAGUAUGUGAUUUGUUUUCCCUUGAUACUGUGCUUUGUUGGUUAAACUGAGUAAGUUGAGUACACACUAACUAAUAGGGAGCUUCUGAGUGGAGAGAAGGAAGGCUUUUUGCAGCUACCAAGGGACAAAGCCCUCCUCUCUUAUCCAUCCUUCUGCCCACUUAUUGACAAAUAUGUAGCAGUAUAUAUAUCUUUGAUCCUUGUCAUUUGUUCGGUGUCGGUUUAUGUUAAUCUGGGUGGCUGUAAUAAAUAUUUGUCAGCCUUGUGUUUUGUUAUCUUCUUUUCUCUUGAAUGGUUCAUUUGAAGAUGGGGUGAACUAAACUGAAUAUGUAGUCUGUAUGUUUUUAUGGUUCA